rnacentral:rRNA from 1 species
CAAUCUGCCUUUGGAUGGGGGAUAACAGCCGGAAACGACUGCUAAUACCGCAUGAUGCAGCGAGACCGCAUGAUUUUGCUGCCAAAGAUUUAUCGUCCAAAGAUGAGCUCGCGUCUGAUUAGCCAGUUGGCGGGGUAAUGGCCCACCAAAGCGACGAUCAGUAGCCGGACUGAGAGGUUGAACGGCCACAUUGGGACUGAGACACGGCCCAGACUCCUACGGGAGGCAGCAG